UACGUAGGGUGCAAGCGUUGUCCGGAUUUAUUGGGUUUAAAGGGUGCGUAGGCGGCCUGUUAAGUCAGUGGUGAAAUCCAACAGCUCAACUGUUGAUGUGCCAAUGAUACUGACAGGCUUGAGUACAGACGAGGUAGGCGGAAUUUAUGGUGUAGCGGUGAAAUGCAUAGAUACCAUAAAGAACACCGAUAGCGAAGGCA
rnacentral:rRNA from 1 species